rnacentral:lncRNA from 1 species
UUAACUGACUGAACCACCCAGGCGCCCCUCUUUCUUUUCCUUCUUUUUUUUUUUUAAAGCAGACCUCACACCCAGCAUGGAGCCCAAAACGGGGCUCAAACUCACGAAGCUGAGAUCAACACCUGAGCUGAGAUCAAGAGUCAGAUGUUUAACCAACUGUGUCACCCAGACCCCCCGUUGUGUACAGCUAUCCUAAGGAGGGACAAACAGGAGGGCCCCAGGAUAAGGGAGCCAACAAGAGCUUCGAGCAGACUCCACAUGUAGUGUGGAGCCCGACUCUGUAUCACGACCCUGGGAUCAUCACCUGAGCCGAAAUCAAGAGUCAGACGCUCAACCUACUGAGCCACCAGGUACCCCUCUCCCCUCACUUGGUGUGGGUCUGACUGUGACC